CCUUUGUACACACCGCCCGUCGCUACUACCGAUUGAAUGGCUCAGUGAGGCGUCCGGACUGGCCCAGGGAGAUGGGCAACCGUCACCCAGGGCCGGAAAGCUCUCCAAACUCGGUCAUUUAGAGG
rnacentral:rRNA from 1 species